rnacentral:rRNA from 1 species
UACGUAGGGUGCAAGCGUUGUCCGGAAUUAUUGGGCGUAAAGAGCUCGUAGGCGGUCUGUCGCGUCGGAUGUGAAAAUCCAGGGCUCAACCCUGGACCUGCAUUCGAUACGGGCAGACUAGAGUUCGGUAGGGGAGACUGGAAUUCCUGGUGUAGCGGUGAAAUGCGCAGAUAUCGGGAGGAACACCAGUGGCGAAGGCGGCACUCUGGGCCGGUACUGACGCUGAGGAGCGAAAGCGUGGGGAGCAAACAGG